CGUAGGCUUGAUGAAUGUAGAAGAUAAACUACAUCUUUUAUCUACGGUUGUCAGUGUUGAAAAUUAGAAACACGGAACUUAUAUAAAACUACAGAACAAAUCAAAGUUUUAAAGAUAGCUCUCACAUUUUCUCAUUUUCUCUCUAGUAGCUCAAAUCUCUCUCACACAAAACUUAGAAAUUUCAAACCCAAUUUCAUAGCUCUCAAUCAUGGAAAUUUCGUAGCUCUAGGUCAUGGCAAUUGCAUAGCUAUUGGUUUCUCAAUGCGGUGGCUGUGUCUCAUCGUCACUCACAAAAUCGAAGUCGAAGUCUUCUGUCAACUCUUCUACUCUUCGCCAACCUCAUCUAAUCUCCCCCAAUUUUCUAGGGUUUCAAGCUCAAUUGCCACUGCAAAACGAAGAUCAUUUUGCCUGAUUUGUCUUGAUUCUUCAAUGGAGGAAAAUUCGAGUCUACUACAAAGGAUGGUCAAGCUAAUAAAGUCAGUCGCCUCCAAGAUUUGAUAGUUCAUAGUCUAUACAGCCACAUAGAGGUGUUCCUUCGAGAGCUUGUGAGGAAUGUGUAGAGACAGAGCAAGCUCUUUUAGUUUCUCAACUUAACAGUGACAACAGUGAAAUGGCUGAAUUAGUUGACAUGGACUGGGACAACCAUGGAUUUGCAUUUCUCCCUACUGAUUAUAUGUAUAUCAUGGAAUGUGCUCGAGUGGGGGACUUCUCUAAAGGCGAAUUACAGCGUUUUAGGAACAUUGAAAUGAACUCUUCAGCUGGAGUCUUGAAUUAUGGGCAGGCAUCAAAAAGAACUUAGUGAUUAAUGGGAUCUCAUGCGCAUUGAAUAGGACCUGGCUAUAGAUGUCUAAAUGGCAGAUGUGAGUCACUAUGUUUUUAAAAUUUCCAAUGAAUUGGUCUUGAAGGUUAAAGGUUAUAAAAAUCUUCUAUUUUGAAAGGUAGAUGAACAAUGUAAAUUUAAGAGUGUAAAGGGCAGUAGGCAGAGUAGUUGAGUUGUAUUGAUUUUUACAGUUUGUUUCAGGUUAUUAUAUUUUGAUUAAUGUGAAAGA